GUAGGCGCCACAUGGAACGCCGAUGCCGAGGCCGAAGACAUUGACCCUUUGGCCAUCAGGUGUCUGGGGCCCGACAUGGAUGCCAAGAGCUUCGUCCUUGGAACCCUGGUCGCCGUCAAACAUGACGAAGGACAAGUUGUCCGGCUCCUGCAGGAU
rnacentral:SRP_RNA from 15 species